rnacentral:rRNA from 1 species
CCUACGGGUGGCAGCAGUGGGGAAUAUUGCACAAUGGGGGGAACCCUGAUGCAGCGACGCCGCGUGAGUGAAGAAGUAUCUCGGCAUGUAAAGCUCUAUCAGCAGGGAAGAAAAUGACGGUACCUGACUAAGAAGCCCCGGCUAACUACGUGCCAGCAGCCGCGGUAAUACGUAGGGGGCAAGCGUUAUCCGGAUUUACUGGGUGUAAAGGGAGCGUAGACGGCAGAUCAAGUCUGAAGUGAAAGCCCGGGGCCCAACCGCGGGACUGCUUUGGAAACUGCCCGGCUAGAGUGCUGGAGAGGGAAGCGGAAUUCCUGGUGUAGCGGUGAAAUGCGUAGAUAUUAGGAGGAACACCAGUGGCGAAGGCGGCUUGCUGGACAGUAACUGACGUUCAGGCUCGAAAGCGUGGGGAGCAAACAGGAUUAGAUACCCUGGUAGUC